UUCGGCGGCCAUAGCGAGAGGGAAACGCCCGGUCACAUUCCGAACCCGGAAGCUAAGCCUCUCAGCGCCGAUGGUACUGCAAGGGGGACCUUGUGGG
rnacentral:rRNA from 1 species